rnacentral:rRNA from 1 species
GAGUGACACUGCGCCGAAAAUGUACCGGGGCUAAACAUAUUACCGAAGCUGUGGAUUGUCCUUUGGACAAUGGUAGGAGAGCGUUCUAAGGGCGUUGAAGCAUGAUCGUAAGGACAUGUGGAGCGCUUAGAAGUGAGAAUGCCGGUGUGAGUAGCGAAAGACGGGUGAGAAUCCCGUCCACCGAUUGACUAAGGUUUCCAGAGGAAGGCUCGUCCGCUCUGGGUUAGUCGGGUCCUAAGCUGAGGCCGACAGGCGUAGGCGAUGGAUAACAGGUUGAUAUUCCUGUACCACCUAUAAUCGUUUUAAUCGAUGGGGGGACGCAGUAGGAUAGGCGAAGCGUGCGAUUGGAUUGCACGUCUAAGCAGUAAGGCUGAGUAUUAGGCAAAUCCGGUACUCGUUAAGGCUGAGCUGUGAUGGGGAGAAGACAUUGAGUCUUCGAGUCGUUGAUUUCACACUGCCGAGAAAAGCCUCUAGAUAGAAAAUAGGUGCCCGUACCGCAAACCGACACAGGUAGUCAAGAUGAGAAUUCUAAGGUGAGCGAGCGAACUCUCGUUAAGGAACUCGGCAAAAUGACCCCGUAACUUCGGGAGAAGGGGUGCUCUUUAGGGUUAACGCCCAGAAGAGCCGCAGUGAAUAGGCCCAAGCGACUGUUUAUCAAAAACACAGGUCUCUGCUAAACCGUAAGGUGAUGUAUAGGGGCUGACGCCUGCCCGGUGCUGGAAGGUUAAGAGGAGUGGUUAGCUUCUGCGAAGCUACGAAUCGAAGCCCCAGUAAACGGCGGCCGUAACUAUAACGGUCCUAAGGUAGCGAAAUUCCUUGUCGGGUAAGUUCCGACCCGCACGAAAGGCGUAACGAUUUGGGCACUGUCUCAACGAGAGACUCGGUGAAAUCAUAGUACCUGUGAAGAUGCAGGUUACCCGCGACAGGACGGAAAGACCCCGUGGAGCUUUACUGUAGCCUGAUAUUGAAAUUCGGCACAGCUUGUACAGGAUAGGUAGGAGCCUUUGAAACGUGAGCGCUAGCUUACGUGGAGGCGCUGGUGGGAUACUACCCUAGCUGUGUUGGCUUUCUAACCCGCACCACUUAUCGUGGUGGGAGACAGUGUCAGGCGGGCAGUUUGACUGGGGCGGUCGCCUCCUAAAAGGUAACGGAGGCGCUCAAAGGUUCCCUCAGAAUGGUUGGAAAUCAUUCAUAGAGUGUAAAGGCAUAAGGGAGCUUGACUGCGAGACCUACAAGUCGAGCAGGGUCGAAAGACGGACUUAGUGAUCCGGUGGUUCCGCAUGGAAGGGCCAUCGCUCAACGGAUAAAAGCUACCCCGGGGAUAACAGGCUUAUCUCCCCCAAGAGUUCACAUCGACGGGGAGGUUUGGCACCUCGAUGUCGGCUCAUCGCAUCCUGGGGCUGUAGUCGGUCCCAAGGGUUGGGCUGUUCGCCCAUUAAAGCGGUACGCGAGCUGGGUUCAGAACGUCGUGAGACAGUUCGGUCCCUAUCCGUCGUGGGCGUAGGAAAUUUGAGAGGAGCUGUCCUUAGUACGAGAGGACCGGGAUGGACAUACCUCUGGUGUACCAGUUGUCGUGCCAACGGCAUAGCUGGGUAGCUAUGUGUGGACGGGAUAAGUGCUGAAAGCAUCUAAGCAUGAAGCCCCCCUCAAGAUGAGAUUUCCCAACUUCGGUUAUAAGAUCCCUCAAAGAUGAUGAGGUUAAUAGGUUCGAGGUGGAAGCAUGGUGACAUGUGGAGCUGACGAAUACUAAUCGAUCGAAGACUUAAUCAA